rnacentral:rRNA from 1 species
UACGGGGGGGCAAGCGUUGUUCGGAAUUACUGGGCGUAAAGGCUCGUAGGCGGCCAACUAAGUCAUGCGUGAAAUCCCUCGGCUUAACCGGGGAACUGCGUCUGAUACUGGAUGGCUUGAGUUCGGGAGAGGGAUGCGGAAUUCCAGGUGUAGCGGUGAAAUGCGUAGAUAUCUGGAGGAACACCGGUGGCGAAGGCGGCAUCCUGGACCGAUACUGACGCUGAGAGCGAAAGCUAGGGAGCAAACGGG